GGAGCUGCCCCUAGUACGGGAGGACCGGGGUGGACGUACCUCUAGUGUACCUGUUGUGGCGCCAGCUGCAUCGCAGGGUAGCUACGUACGGAUGAGAUAAGCGCUGAAAGCAUCUAAGCACGAAACUCACCUCAAGAUGAGAUAACUUUUAAGGGCCGUGGAAGACGACCACGUUGAUAGGCUACAGGUGUAAAGACGGUGACGUCAAAGCCGAGUAGUACUAAUUA
rnacentral:rRNA from 13 species